GCAGCAGCCGCGGUAAUACGGAGGGCGCGAGCGUUACCCGGAUUUACUGGGCGUAAAGCGUGCGCAGGCGGUUUGUUAAGACAGAUGUGAAAUCCCCGGGCUCAACCUGGGAACUGCAUUUGUGACUGGCAAGCUAGAGUGUGGCAGAGGGGGGUGGAAUUCCGCGUGUAGCAGUGAAAUGCGUAGAUAUGCGGAGGAACACCGAUGGCGAAGGCAGCCCCCUGGGCCAACACUGACGCUCAUGCACGAAAGCGUGGGGAGCAAACAGGAUUAGAUACCCCCGUAGUCCCUGUCUCUUAUAC
rnacentral:rRNA from 1 species